GUUUGUGUAUUUCAUUCACAGUACAUGCCGGGCGCCCCUCCGUGGUAGGUAAGGGUGGGCCCGGCCGGCUGGCUCCAGGCUGCUCCGAGCUGAGCCCUGCGGCUCCCCGCCUCUCAGCGCUGAAUUAAGCUCAUUUAGAGAAGCCUUUGGAAAAUGGAGAUACAAGAAGAAAAACAAAAUGUUCCUAAAUUCUGCCACUCAGCAUUAACCACAUUUAGCAUAAACAUCUAGACUGAUGUUGGACCCAACAACUGAGGACCAUGGUCGAGCCAAGUGACUACAUAACAUUGACCAUCACAGGAGACACAAUCACAUGCAAUAAACAGCUCAUAUUUAAAGUGGGCAAUUUUAUAAGUUUCAACAUGUAUGCCUGUGGAAAUAAAGAAAGAACAUAUCCAUGCCUGUCACCCCCAACCGAUUCCGUAGGCCUUUUGUAACCCCUCCACCCCACACCACUCGGCUCGCCCCAUCGCCCGGCAGCUUGUGGCUUCUAUCAUCACACAUUAGUUUGCAUUUGCUAGACAUCUGCAAACAUGGACUCAUGCACCGUUUCCUCCUUCAUGUCUGGUCUGUUUCAGUAAAAUUCUUUUGCGAUGCUUCCAUGUCACUGUAUGUAUCAAUAGACAGUCAGCCCCUUUUUACUUCUGGGAGGUGCUCCAUUGCAUGGGGACAGCAGUUCUUCACGAAGUCGCCCCUGGGUGGACAUUUGGGUUGUUUACAGUCUUGACUAUUACAAAUAAAGCUGCUAUGAACAUUCAUGCAUAAGCUUUUGUAUGAGCACAUGUUUCCAUUUAUGGGAAAUAUCACAGAGUAGAAUGCCUGGAUGGUGCCAUUUUUUAUGACGUGGAGUACCUCUUUCCCACGUGACUGUACUGUUUGCACCCGAGAGCUAUGCCUGCUCCGCGAACUGACCCUGUCUGGGGGUGGUGCCUUUGUAAUUAUCAGCAUCCUAAUGGGUGUGAGCAGCUCCCUCCUGUGAUCCUAACUUGCGUUUCCCGAAUGACUAGUGAUGUUAAGAAUCUUUCCAUAUGCUUAUUUGUAUAUGUGCAAAUAAAUACUUCUAUGAUAAA